UCACAAGAGGUCCUACCACCAGUAAUUUA
rnacentral:sRNA from 1 species